ensembl:snRNA U6 U6 spliceosomal RNA
AUGCUCACUUUGGCAGCACAUAUACUAAAAUUGUAACAGAGAAGAUUAGUAUGGCUCCUGUGCAAGGAUGAAAAGCAAAUUCAUAAAGUGUUCCAUAUUUUU